AACGAACGCUGGCGGCAUGCCUAACACAUGCAAGUCGAACGAGACCUUCGGGUCUAGUGGCGCACGGGUGCGUAACGCGUGGGAAUCUGCCCUUGGGUUCGGAAUAACAGUUAGAAAUGACUGCUAAUACCGGAUAAUGUCUUCGGACCAAAGAUUUAUCGCCCAGGGAUGAGCCCGCGUAGGAUUAGCUAGUUGGUGAGGUAAAGGCUCACCAAGGCGACGAUCCUUAGCUGGUCUGAGAGGAUGAUCAGCCACACUGGGACUGAGACACGGCCCAGACUCCUACGGGA
rnacentral:rRNA from 1 species